rnacentral:snoRNA from 1 species
CCAUUGGAUGACGAUGAACUAGUGGAAUACAUCCUUCCUGGCCUUGACGAGGAAUACGACUCAUUUGUCAACGCGGUUCUUGCAUGCAUCGAUCCGAUUACUGUAAGUGACCUUGUUUCGUAGAUGCUAUCGUUCGAGA